rnacentral:rRNA from 1 species
AUCCAACCAGAAAGCCACGGCUAACUACGUGCCAGCAGCCGCGGUAAUAYGUAGGUGGCAAGCGUUAUCCGGAUUUAUUGGGCGUAAAGCGAGCGCAGGCGGUUUUUUAAGUCUAAUGUGAAAGCCUUCGGCUUAACCGAAGAAGUGCAUUGGAAACUGGAAGACUUGAGUGCAGAAGAGGACAGUGGAACUCCAUGUGUAGCGGUGAAAUGCGUAGAUAUAUGGAAGAACACCAGUGGCGAAGGCGGCUGUCUGGUCUGUAACUGACGCUGAGGCUCGAAAGCAUGGGUAGCGAACAGGAUUAGAUACCCUGGUAGUCCAUGCCGUAAACGAUGAAUGCUAAGUGUUGGAGGGUUUCC